rnacentral:rRNA from 1 species
UACGUAGGGGCCUAGCGUUGUCCGGAAUUAUUGGGCGUAAAGAGCUCGUAGGCGGUUUGUCGCGUCUGCUGUGAAAACUCGGGGCUUAACUCCGGGCCUGCAGUGGGUACGGGCAGACUAGAGUGCGGUAGGGGAGACUGGAAUUCCUGGUGUAGCGGUGAAAUGCGCAGAUAUCAGGAGGAACACCAAUGGCGAAGGCAGCUCGCUGGAACGGUACUGACGCUGAGGCGCGAAAGCGUGGGGAGCGAACAGG